UUGUGAGGCAUCUCCGGGUAGGGCGCUGGCCUAAGUUCCUUGGAACAGGACGUCACAGAGGGUGAGAAUCCCGUGCUUGGCUGGCUGUCCCCGUCCAUGUGAGGUGUCUUCGACGAGUCGAGUUGUUUGGGAAUGCAGCUCAAAAUGGGUGGUAAAUUUCAUCUAAAGCUAAAUAUUGGUGGGAGACCGAUAGCGCACAAGUAGAGUGAUCGAAAGAUGAAAAGCACUUUGAAAAUAGAGUUAAAAAGUACGUGAAAUUGUUGAAAGGGAAGCGCUUGAGACCAGACUUCGGUAAGGGGUGAUCAGCCGUCCUUUUGGGCGGUGCACUUGCCCCCCUCCGGGCCAGCAUCGGUUGAGGCGGCGGGAUAAAGGUCCCGGGAAUGUGGCUCCUUCACGGGAGUGUUAUAGCCCGGGUGAAUGCCGCCAGCUUCGACCGAGGACCGCACCCGCAAGGGUUAGGAUGCUUGGCAUAAUGGUCUUCAGCGAC
rnacentral:rRNA from 1 species